rnacentral:rRNA from 1 species
UACGUAGGGUGCAAGCGUUGUCCGGAAUUAUUGGGCGUAAAGAGCUCGUAGGCGGUUUGUCGCGUCUGCUGUGAAACCCGAGGCUCAACCUCGGGCCUGCAGUGGGUACGGGCAGACUAGAGUGCGGUAGGGGAGAUUGGAAUUCCUGGUGGUAGCGGUGGAAUGCGCAGAUAUCAGGAGGAACACCAAGUCGGCGAAGGCGGUUCUCUGGGCCUGUACUGACGCUGAGGAGCGAAAGCGUGGGGAGCGAACAGG